CCAGCCUACAGUAUAGUCCCUGAGUGAGCUAGCAGACUGUAAACCCAGCCUACAGUAUAGUCCCUGAGUGAGCUAGCAGACUGUAAACCCAGCCUACAGUAUAGUCCCUGAGUGAGCUAGCAGACUGUAAACCCAGCCUACAGAGGAUAUACGGUACACCACCACUGACCAACCAUAGCAACUAUACCUGUCAGUCUCAUGAUAUACAACCUGGUGUUGAUGACUUACAGCUUGUACAGAUAAUCAGAUGUUUAAUGUGCUCCAGAGUAGACCAGAGUUAGGAGAGUAGUGUUGUAUGUAAAUAUAUUUUUAUGGCACAGGCUUUAUGCAAAAGACGCUUUACAUACCAAGAUGAAAUUAUUUUUUAAAAGGAUGGAUGGGCACAACUAAGUUUGUUAAUUUGUGUUUUUAAAAAGUUUCUAGAAGCGAAGAAGCAGGGUGUUCCAUGAUGUCAUAUCCUGUGUUUAAAUCGAUUGGUUGCUUACUGUGUAAUCUGCAUUGCCAUUGGCUAGUUAUGACUGGUUAAUCAUGUUGUUGUUCUAAAAAUGGCCGAACUUUGUUUUUGUCAUGAUUUUGUAUUUGUCGUUGAUAUAUUUUGGAUGUGGGUUCUCAGUGUAGUGCAUUAUGAAGGGGAAUAGGGUGCAGCAGCCUUGAACCACUUCACAUGUAGUCAAACAGUAGUCAAACAAACCAAACAGACUAAAAGAUGAAGCACAUUCAUACUGUACCAUUGACAUCAACGUCUCACUGAAACUAACUGGUGGACCAAGUUAGAGCUGUCACCUGUUAGGCUUUGGCUUGACUAAGUGCCAAUACACAGUAGAGCUGAAGUUGAACAUCUUCUCAUUUUUAUACAAGAAAUAAACCAUUUGCCUUCAUUUUUCCAUCGUGAGUCCAGAAAUAGUACAUAUGUGGAUAGAUGAAUCAGGGUUCUGUUAAUCUGAAAUGUAACCACUUUAGCUCAAUGCUAAUAGUAUAGAAUCUUUGCUGGUAUGUGUUAUGCCAUAAUUGUUUUUCUGUAUAAUUUUUUUAAACCGUUAAUUUCAAAAUGGCUCUUAUUGUCAUUGUAGACCAUUGCCUGUGUGUGAAACAUGAGACUAGAUAUUGAAAAGAGAAAUGCUAAAAUGAUCAUUACAUAUGUAUAUAAUUGAAUGGUACUUUUGUAAAUCAUUGAGCUGUGAACCACCAUGACUUGUGGAGCUGGUCUACAGGACAGGUACUGCCUUCUCUGUCAAUUCUUCUGAAACCGUUUCAAUGGAUUUCAAACAUCAUCCUUAAAUCAUUUGCCAAAUAGUUUUCACGUCGUCAUCAGCUCGUUUGUUUUAUCUGCUAUGCAACUGCUUCAUCAUUUUGAAUCACUCCUCAAAUAUAUUUUAAUACUAAACCAAUGUGUUGAUGUGUUGUCAUCCUGAAGCUAUAGGGGGUAGAUGAAUAGAAUUUAUAUAUGGUACAUGAUGUGUUGUCAUCCUGAAGCUAUAGGGGGGGUAGAUGAAUAUAAUUUAUAUAUGGUACAUGGUGUGUUGUCAUCCUGAAGCUAUAGGGGGUAGAUGAAUAGAAUGUAUAUAUGGUACAUGAUGUGUUGUCAUCCUGAAGCUAUAGGGGGGUAGAUGAAUAUAAUUUAUAUAUGGUACAUGAUGUGUUGUCAUCCUGAAGCUAUAGGGGGGUAGAUGAAUAUAAUUUAUAUAUGGUACAUGAUGUGAUGUCAUCCUGAAGCUAUAGGGGGGUAGAUGAAUAGAAUUUAUAUAUGGUACAUGAUGUGUUGUCAUCCUGAAGCUAUAGGGGGUAGAUGAAUAGAAUGUAUAUAUGGUACAUGAUGUGUUGUCAUCCUGAAGCUAUAGGGGGGUAGAUGAAUAGAAUGUAUAUAUGGUACAUGAUGUGUUGUCAUCCUGAAGCUAUAGGGGGGUAGAUGAAUAGAAUGUAUAUAUGGUACAUGAUGUGUUGUCAUCCUGAAGCUAUAGGGGGGUAGAUGAAUAUAAUUUAUAUAUGGUACAUGAUGUGUUGUCAUCCUGAAGCUAUAGGGGGUAGAUUAAUAUAAUUUAUAUAUGGUACAUGAUGUGUUGUCAUCCUGAAGCUAUAGGGGGUAGAUUAAUAUAAUUUAUAUAUGGUACAUGAUGUGAUGCUGCAUAUAUCCUCACAUAUUGACCUGGUGAUGUAUUUAAGGCUGCAUCCCAAAUGGCACCCUAUUCCUUAUAUAGUCCACUACAUUUGACCAGGGUCAGCGGGGCCCCCAAAAAAGUGCACUAUAAAGGCAAUAGUGGUAUUUGGGGCGCUACCUAAGUGUCUGAGUUCAUCUGAGCAUUGUUAGGUUGCUCCUUACUGCGUUCACCACUCAUAGGGUCAAAUGGGGACACUUGUGCAACUCUCUGAUAAAUAUGAAUGCGUCUUUUGAAUUGAAAUUCGAGUCUUUCCUCAACUACAGGAUUAGUCUCAGUUCAUCUGAGGAUGCUGGGUUCUCCUUGCUUGCCAGCUAUAUGGGUGAAUGAGGACCAAUCUUAAUAUGGGAUAUGACUUAGCACCUAACUCAGACACUUGGAUGAAUGAGGACCAAUCCUAAUAUGGGAUAUGACUUAGCACCUAACUCAGACACUUGGAUGAAUGAGGACCAAUCUUAAUAUGGGAUAUGACUUAGCACCUAACUCAGACACUUGGAUGAAUGAGGACCAAUCUUAAUAUGGGAUAUGACUUAGCACCUAACUCAGACACUUGGAUGAAUGAGGACCAAUCUUAAUAUGGGAUAUGACUUAGCACCUAACUCAGACACUUGGAUGAAUGAGGACCAAUCUUAAUAUGGGAUAUGACUUAGCACCUAACUCAGACACUUGGAUGAAUGAGGACCAAUCUUAAUAUGGGAUAUGACUUAGCACCUAACUCAGACACUUGCACAACUCUGUCAUGAAUAUUAACAGGAAUUGAGAGGGAAUUGUGAGACUUUCCUCAGGUUGUGAUUAGUCUCAGAACCCCUCGGUUACCAUAGCAGGUGGCUAUGACUGAGAAUACGUCUCAAACGGCACCCUAUUCCCUAUAGGGCCCUGGUAAAAAAAAAAGUAGUGCCCUAUAUAGGGAAUAGUGUGCCUAGGGGGUAGAUGGCAUCAGCAGACUGUCUGGUGUUGCUAUGGCUGCCAGUCACAUACCCAGUCUCUGCCCACUCUAGAGGACCCACACCAGCCAGACAGACGGACACAGCAGGGGAACUCCUUUGAUCUGUAAUUACAACCAGACUGCACAAGUCAUCACGGACUGACUCAUUUAUGCAUUCUCUUUUUCAUUUUCUUUGUCACUUUCUCUCUUGUUCUCCAUGGUUCUUUCUCACUCUUCUCUUAUGUAUGUCCCUCUCGUUCUCUCUCCUCUCUCGUUCCCUCUUCUCGUUUUCUCUCGCUCUUCUGCUGACAGUCUAUUGCAAAGCUUUUUAUUGCCUUUGUUUAUCCAGGAAGUGCCAUAAUGAAUAGAGAAUUUGUGGUAAUAAUAAAAAGGUAGUGAUGAU
rnacentral:lncRNA from 1 species